GACGAACGCUGGCGGCGUGCCUAAUACAUGCAAGUAGAACGCUGAAGAGAGGAGCUUGCUCUUCUUGGAUGAGUUGCGAACGGGUGAGUAACGCGUAGGUAACCUGCCUUGUAGCGGGGGAUAACUAUUGGAAACGAUAGCUAAUACCGCAUAACAAUGGAUGACACAUGUCAUUUAUUUGAAAGGGGCAAUUGCUCCACUACAAGAUGGACCUGCGUUGUAUUAGCUAGUAGGUGAGGUAAUGGCUCACCUAGGCGACGAUACAUAGCCGACCUGAGAGGGUGAGAGGCAACACUGGGACUGAGACACGGCCCAGAAUCCUACGGGAGACAGCAGUAGGGAAUCUUCGGCAAUGGGGGCAACCCUGACCGAGCAACGCCGCGUGAGUGAAGAAGGUUUUCGGAUCGUAAAGCUCUGUUGUAAGUCAAGAACGGGUGUGAGAGUGGAAAGUUCACACUGUGACGGUAGCUUACCAGAAAGGGACGGCUAACUACGUG
rnacentral:rRNA from 1 species